CAUUGAGAAGCUAUACAGCAUUAACCUUUUAAGUUAAAGACUGAGGGUUUUAAUCUCUCCUCAAUGA
rnacentral:tRNA from 1 species